AGCACAUUUCUUAAGACCACUUUCCGAGAAAAUUUCAAUUAACUUUACAUUGUAAAAAUAAUUGAUUUAUUUCUCAACAUCCUUAAUGGCUGUUCAGUGGAUAGUGAUUGGGUCAUAGGUGUGCCAAAUAACCAAAUUUUUAUUAGCUUUGAAUUGUCAUACUUUAAGCUUCGCUAUAGUAUGUUUAAAAUUGUUAGUAAAAACAUC